AGUUAAGUAAGCUAAAAAUAAGCUAUUGGGUUCAUACCCCAAAUAUGAAAUUUUCCUUAAUUA
rnacentral:tRNA from 1 species